GACGAACGCUGGCGGCGGGCUUAACACAUGCAAGUCGAACGGAAAGGCCCUGCUUUUGUGGGGUGCUCGAGUGGCGAACGGGUGAGGAACACGUGAGUAACCUGCCCUUGACUUUGGGAUAACUUCAGGAAACUGGGGCUAAUACCGGAUAGGAGCUCCUGCUGCAUGGUGGGGGUUGGAAAGUUUCGGCGGUUGGGGAUGGACGCGCGGCUUAUCAGCUUGUUGGUGGGGUAGUGGCUUACCAAGGCUUUGACGGGUAGCCGGCCUGAGAGGGUGACCGGCCACAUUGGGACUGAGAUAGGGACCAGACUCGUACGGGGGGCAGCGGUGGGGAAUAUUGCACAGUGGGAGGGAGCCUGAUGCGGCAGCGCCGCGUGCGGGAUGCCGGCCUUCGGGUUGUAAACCGCUUUCGCCUGUGACGAAGCGUGAGUGACGGUAAUGGGUAAAGAAGCACCGGCUAACUACGUG
rnacentral:rRNA from 1 species